rnacentral:tRNA from 1 species
CGGGAUGUAAUUCAGUGGUCAGAAGCCAGAGUUUGGGACUCUGGAGUCGUAGGUUCAAAUCCUACCAUCCCGACCA